rnacentral:lncRNA from 1 species
ACAGCUGCCUCAAGUGUCCACUCUCUCUGACCCUAUCUAGGCUCCAGCAAGAAUUCCAUCUCUGUCUGUUUUAUUCCCACUGAAGAGAAAAAUGACUUUAAUGGCAACAACAAAUGCUUCACUUGUUAGCCUUUCUGUUCCCGACCCUGACACAAAUAAACUAAUAUUCCAUCUACCCGGCACCGGCCUGAGGUAGGGGAAAGAACGGAAUCCGUGUCAUUGUCCCUGUGUGGGGUGAGGGCGGAGGGGAGCAGGAGCUGCCUGGCGUGUUGCUCCCACCCCCACAAAGAAACAGAUGCUACUACAGCACCUUUAAAAAUAGAGACGUGGACUUCAGUCUUGGGCAGAAAGUCUACCAUACUGCCUGGUUUCCUGUUCUUUAUGAAUCAAACCGGACUAUCUCUGCUUUCCUGUUUUCCAGCUCUGGGAUCAGUACACGUCAACCUGAACCCGGAAGAGUUCCAAGUAUCUUUCCCCUUCUCUGUCAGGUUCGUGUUACCCUGAACCUGUGAGCUCAGAAGGAAUUUUCUGGUUUUCGGGAGACGGCAGCCAUUCAUCAUAGCUCUCCACCACUGACUGACUGAGAGUCAAUUAUCAUCAAACAUCCAUCUGCCCAUGGUGAGCUACAAGCUAUGCCAGGUGUUUGGUGAAUAACACUAAUGUAAUUUAUUUUACUGUCUGAUUUCUCA